rnacentral:ncRNA from 1 species
UUGCUUGAGAGUGCAGCUCUAAGUGGGUGGUAAACUCCAUCUAAGGCUAAAUACGACCACGAGACCGAUAGCGAACAAGUUCCGUGAGGGAAAGUUGAUAAGAACUUUGAAGAGAGAGUUCAAGAGUACGUGAAACCGUUCAGGGGUAAACCUAAGAAACCCAAAAGAUCGAACGGGGAGAUUCAUCGUCAGCGACGCUGGCUUCGCGUCGGUGGGCAAUGCCACGCGGGUCCCUCGCGGCUCGCGCGCCGGCACGCCGCCGUGCGUCCGAUGUCCGGCCGUCGUCGUCGUGCACUUCUCCCCUAGUAGAACGUCGCGGCCCGCUGUGUGUCGGUCUAUGGCCCGGGUGCGGUGGCUGACGCGACGACGGUAUAACGGCCCGAGUCAAACCCCCGGUCGCCCGGCCGACUGCUCGGCAGUACACGCAACGUAUUAGGCCGCAACUCGCUGUGCGUCGAGGCCGUCGCAAGCGCGCGCCACGGUACACGGAUGUUCAACGGACCUAGCGCCGUCACCGGUCCUAGCCCGCUGCUGGCACGUACAGUUAACCUUCGACAGGCCCGCAAACGCGUCCUCCGCCGCGUCCGCGCGCGCGUGUGGACCGCGAUACCGGUCGGCGACGCUACUGCUCUGGGUACUCUUAGGACCCGUCUUGAAACACGGACCAAGAUGUCUAACAUGUACGCGAUUCAUUGGGACUUGUAAUGGUAUACCUAAACGCGAAAUGAAGGUGAAGGUCGGCCCUGGUUGUCGACCGAGGGAGGAUGGGCCGCGUCGCGAUGCGGCUCCGCACUCCCGGGGCGUCUCGUUCUCAUCGCGAGAAGAGGCGCACCCAGAGCGUACACGUCGGACCCGAAAGAUGGUGAACUAUGCCUGGUCAGGACGAAGUCAGGGGAAACCCUGAUGGAGGUGCGUAGCGAUUAUGACGUGCAAAUCGAUCGUCGGAACUGGGUAUAGGGGCGAAAGA